rnacentral:misc_RNA from 1 species
GAUGAAGAACGCAGCGAAAUGCGAUAAGUAAUGUGAAUUGCAGAAUUCAGUGAAUCAUCGAAUCUUUGAACGCACCUUGCGCCCUUUGGCCAUUCCGAAGGGCAUGCCUGUUUGAGUAUCAUGAACACCUCAACUCUCAUGGCUCGCCAUGAUGAGCUUGGAUUUGGGGGUCUUGCUGGCCUGUGGUCGGCCCCUCUCAAAUGGAUCAGCUUGCCAGUGUUUGGUGGCAUCACAGGUGUGAUAACUAUCUGCGCUUGUGGUUUUCCAUCAGAUAACCUUCAGUGAUGGAGGUUCGCUGGAGCUCAUAAACGUCUCCCCUAAGCGGGGACAGCCCUUUGAAUGUUUGAUCUCAAAUCAGGUAGGACUACCCGCUGAACUUAAGCAUAUCAAAAGCGGAGGA